rnacentral:tRNA from 1 species
AUUUAAGUAGUUUAAUAAAAACGAAUGAUUGUGGGUCUUUAAAUUCUUGAUAAGACUUAAAUA